CAGCACGCCCUGGGCCUCCCUGUGCUGUCCUGAGGCUGGACAACAGAAAAACAAGAAAAUGGACUCCUUUCUCCUGCAGACCUGCUUGAUUGCCAGCCAGGAAGUGCCAGAGUUUGCAGCCUCAUGGAGGAAGACAAGGUCAAGGCCCUCCUCUGGACCACACAGUGACAAGUCAGCAGGAUUGAGCCAAACACCCAGAGGUCAUGACCUCUGUUGUGGAAGUCUUUUGGAUCCUGGACGCUGUCAUUCCUCUACUGUCUCAUAGGCCUGAACCCAGAGCCAAGCCAUUGUUAUCACGCCCUUUGAA